GAGUUUGAUCUUGGCUCAGAGUGAACGCUGGCGGCAGGCCUAACACAUGCAAGUCGAACGGCAGCGGGUCCUUCGGGAUGCCGGCGAGUGGCGGACGGGUGAGGAAUGCGUCGGAAUCUGCCUCUUUGUGGGGGAUAACGUAGGGAAACUUACGCUAAUACCGCAUACGACCUACGGGUGAAAGCCGGGGACCUUCGGGCCUGGCGCAGAGAGAUGAGCCGACGCCGGAUUAGCUAGUUGGCGGGGUAAAGGCCCACCAAGGCGACGAUCCGUAGCUGGUCUGAGAGGAUGAUCAGCCACACUGGAACUGAGACACGGUCCAGACUCCUACGGGAGGCAGCAGUGGGGAAUAUUGGACAAUGGGCGCAAGCCUGAUCCAGCCAUGCCGCGUGUGUGAAGAAGGCCUUCGGUUGUAA
rnacentral:rRNA from 1 species